UCGGGGACCGUGCAUGGUAGGCAGUUUGACUGGGGCGGUCUCCUCCCAAAGUAGUAACGGAGGAGCUCGAAGGUCGCCUAGGUACGGUCGGACAUCGUACUGAUAGUGUAAUGGCAUAAGGCGGCUUAACUGCGAGACCGACAAGUCGAGCAGGUGCGAAAGCAGGACAUAGUGAUCCGGUGGUUCUGUAUGGAAGGGCCAUCGCUCAACGGAUAAAAGGUAACUCCGGGGAUAACAGGCUGAUACCGCCCAAGAGUUCACAUCGACGGCGGUGUUUGGCACCUCGAUGUCGGCUCAUCACAUCCUGGGGCUGUAGCCGGUCCCAAGGGUAUGGCUGUUCGCCAUUUAAAGUGGUACGUGAGCUGGGUUUAAAACGUCGUGAGACAGUUUGGUCCCUAUCUGCAGUGGGCGUUGGAAGUUUGAGGGGGGCUGCUCCUAGUACGAGAGGACCGGAGUGGACGAACCUCUGGUGUACCGG
rnacentral:rRNA from 1 species